rnacentral:lncRNA from 1 species
GAAUUAAAGUAAUCUACUUGGUUGGUUGCAUAGUUUCAUUUUGCAUAUUGAGAGGCAUGACAUGUAGUUCAAUAUUGAGUAAAUAUAUAAAUAUCUGUUAUAUGUUAUUGGACUAACCUGUUGCAGUGCCUCAUUAGACCUAUUGGUUGAGCUUUUCCCUUGGGUAGCCGUACCCACUGGGAACCAUGGAGUUGGUUCUCACCCCACGUUGUUUUGGAGUGUUACAGGUUCACACGUGAGCGGCGCGGCGGCGCGAGGCAAGGGCGUAGCUCCAUAGAUAGCGCCCUACCACAAAGACCAGAGAUAGCGGUACCCUGAGUCGGCUACAUAGGCAUGUAAGAAAAUGAAAGGAAUAAGAUUGCAAUAAUUUGUAAUAAAAGUAUGAUUGUAUCUGAAAGUUAAAUGUAAUAUGUAACUGUGAUGUAAAAUGUAUCUAGUGAAUGUGAAUGCUUGUAAUAACAAGUAGGUUAUGUGUUUGAUACUUCCUUAUGCAAUCUUUGAUUGAAAUGUGUUUCUGGUUGGAACUUUGUACAUUGUAUUGAUUGCGACGCCUUGGACGUACAGGGGAGACUCUGUCCGCGGUACAGAGGAAACCCUGUCUGUU